rnacentral:rRNA from 3 species
AGAGUUUGAUCCUGGCUCAGAGUGAACGCUGGCGGCGUGCCUAAUACAUGCAAGUCGAACGGAGAUUAAGUAGCUUGCUAUUUAAUCUUAGUGGCGCACGGGUGAGUAAUAUAUAGCUAAUCUGCCCUACACUAGAGGACAACAGUUGGAAACGACUGCUAAUACUCUAUACUCCUUCUUUACAUAAGUUAAGUCGGGAAAGUUUUUCGGUGUAGGAUGAGGCUAUAUCGUAUCAGCUAGUUGGUAGGGUAACGGCCUACCAAGGCUAUGACGCGUAACUGGUCUGAGAGGAUGAUCAGUCACACUGGAACUGAGACACGGUCCAGACUCCUACGGGAGGCAGCAGUAGGGAAUAUUGCUCAAUGGGGGAAACCCUGAAGCAGCAACGCCGCGUGGAGGAUGACACUUUUCGGAGCGUAAACUCCUUUUCUUGGGAAAGAAUUAUGACGGUACCCAAGGAAUAAGCACCGGCUAACUCCGUGCCAGCAGCCGCGGUAAUACGGAGGGUGCAAGCGUUACUCGGAAUCACUGGGCGUAAAGGACGCGUAGGCGGAUUAUCAAGUCUCUUGUGAAAUCUAACGGCUUAACCGUUAAACUGCUUGGGAAACUGAUAAUCUAGAGUAAGGGAGAGGCAGAUGGAAUUCUUGGUGUAGGGGUAAAAUCCGUAGAGAUCAAGAAGAAUACCCAUUGCGAAAGCGAUCUGCUGGAACUUAACUGACGCUAAUGCGUGAAAGCGUGGGGAGCAAACAGGAUUAGAUACCCUGGUAGUCCACGCCCUAAACGAUGUAUACUAGUUGUUGCUUCGCUAGUCGAGGCAGUAAUGCACCUAACGGAUUAAGUAUACCGCCUGGGGAGUACGGUCGCAAGAUUAAAACUCAAAGGAAUAGACGGGGACCCGCACAAGCGGUGGAGCAUGUGGUUUAAUUCGAAGAUACGCGAAGAACCUUACCCGGACUUGAUAUCUAACAAAUCAUCCAGAGAUGGAAGAGUGUCUGCUUGCAGAAAUGUUAAGACAGGUGCUGCACGGCUGUCGUCAGCUCGUGUCGUGAGAUGUUGGGUUAAGUCCCGCAACGAGCGCAACCCACGUCAUUAGUUGCUAACGGUUCGGCCGAGCACUCUAAUGAGACUGCCUUCGUAAGGAGGAGGAAGGUGUGGACGACGUCAAGUCAUCAUGGCCCUUAUGUCCGGGGCGACACACGUGCUACAAUGGCGUAUACAAUAAGACGCAAUAUCGCGAGAUGGAGCAAAUCUAUAAAAUACGUCCCAGUUCGGAUUGGAGUCUGCAACUCGACUCCAUGAAGCCGGAAUCGCUAGUAAUCGUAGAUCAGCCAUGCUACGGUGAAUACGUUCCCGGGUCUUGUACUCACCGCCCGUCACACCAUGGGAGUUGAUUUCACUCGAAGCCCAAAUACCAAACCGGUUAUGGUCCACAGUGGAAUCAGCGACUGGGGUGAAGUCGUAACAAGGUAACCGUAGGAGAACCUGCGGUUG